GAUGAACGCUGGCGGCGUGCCUAAUACAUGCAAGUCGAGCGAACGGACGAGAAGCUUGCUUCUCUGAUGUUAGCGGCGGACGGGUGAGUAACACGUGGAUAACCUACCUAUAAGACUGGGAUAACUUCGGGAAACCGGAGCUAAUACCGGAUAAUAUUUUGAACCGCAUGGUUCAAAAGUGAAAGACGGUCUUGCUGUCACUUAUAGAUGGAUCCGCGCUGCAUUAGCUAGUUGGUAAGGUAACGGCUUACCAAGGCAACGAUGCAUAGCCGACCUGAGAGGGUGAUCCGCCACGCCGGACCUGCGACACGGUCCCAACAACUCGAGGACGCAGCAGUAGAGAAUCUUACGCGAAGGGCGAAAGCCUAACGGAGCAAAGCCGCAUGCGUGAUGAAGGCGUUCGGAUCGUACAACUCUGUUAUUCGGGAAGAACAUAUGUGUAAGUAACUGUGCACAUCUUGACGGUACCUAAUCAGACAGCCACGGCUAACUACGUG
rnacentral:rRNA from 1 species